ACUGUACUUUCAAUAUAAGUUUCAGUGUUCAGUUCACGGACAUUGCACUGGGUAAUACAGACUUCACUGUCUCUGCUUUACAGGCUUGGAGGUCCUCAGAGCCAAGUGAGGGGCGAGUUUGUUUUUAGAUUCCGCUGGAACCUCUCCAGAAUCCUGAUACGUUGUAAUCAAAACAUCUAUUGGUUUCACUUACAUUGUUAACUACCACCUUUACUACAUAUUGCAUUUUAGUUACUUUAACUGUUACUUUACUGUUAACUUCAGUUUGAACAGUAUAUCAACAAAAGAAUGGUUUGUCCUUUUUAUCAUUGGGUAUUAAAAUGUUUUACAGUAAUAGAUGUUUGUAACUCAUUUAUACUUCACUAACUCACUUAUACCUCAGCCCUAUCAUUUGUUUUAGCUAGCAAUUAUCACCCUAGGAGUGAGUACAAUUAACCUAACUGUUGUAAAUAUUGCCAGUAAGUCAGGCAGUCUGUCUGUAUGUUUGUCUCUCUCUCUCUCUACCCCCGGCUGCGCAAUCUCUCUCUCUCCCCCUCUUAAUAGACCUGGAUACUACACGUUUUUAAACAGGGUUUGUUGGUAGGAUGUGGAGAAGUGUUUUAGAGAAGACCAAAUAUACUGAACACCUGCUGUGUAUCAUGCACUGCGCUGGUCACUUCAUAUUCAUUGUCUGUUAGUGUGUUUGCUAUCAUGUGGAAUUAAUGAAGGAUUUUUACUGCUUUAUGAUGAUUUCCUUUUUUGCCAUUUCCUUUCUUGCCAGUCUCUCCAGUGUGUUCCCCCCUACUCCUUCCCCUAACACCAAAGCAGAGACACCAGAAACCCCCUUUUCAGUUUCCAACAAUAGAAGUGUGGUUCCUCCAUCCCAACUAACCAUCCAUUAAAAGAGAUGUUUGUUUCAUACCUCUUUUGCCUUUCCCCUUUCCUGGACUUAGAGGAAAGGCAGAAUGAACCUCAAAACAUAAAGAACCACUGUAGGUGGUGCUUUAAGAAAUAGCCAUUUUCAUUCUUACCCUUCACUAGAUGAUGUCCUAAGCCCCACUUAAUAUUUUAUGAUUAGAGCACCUGCUUUGUGCUAGAUCCAAAGAUCAAUUAAACAAAAAUACUCCUGUCUUUAAGGUAUUUUCUACACCCUCCCCCAGCUUUUAUGAGGUGAAACUGACAAAUAAAAGGGUAUUUUCAUUCUGCUAGAGGAGAUAAGUCCUGCCAGGAUAUGCCUAAUUUACGGUGUUUGAUCAAAGUCCUAAUAAUUCUUUCUCUGAAAUGUCUCUCUGCUCUGACCCUUCCUUUGUAUUCCUACUUCAGAUUGUUAGGUAUUUUGAUUACACAGUGUGCCACAAUGCCCCAGACUGUUCAGUUUCAAAUAUUAGACUUCCACCACAAGGCAAAGAACAAGGCAACCUGAAUAUGAGGGUGCAUAUCAGCAUAUUGCAGUCCUGAAGCUCAAACCUAUCAUGCAACAUAACUGAUUCCUGUUCACAGAUGCUUUUUGUUGCAGCCCUCCCACCUUGAUGUUCUUGUCUGAAGUGUGACUGCAUUUUCCAAUAUCUUUUAAAAUUUCCUGUUGUUUGGAAUAUGAGAGAAUGACAAAUGGUAUUCUACUGAGAGAGUCUUUGUAAUCAGGGCAUUAAGCAAACUCAUAAAUUAUAAUUUUCUCUAGGAACUGUAAUUAGGGAGUGUGGAUUUUGAGUCAUUUAUAUAACCAGUUCUUUUUCUACUUCUAUGUUUAUGGGAAAUUUUGUUUAUUCUCACUCAUUUAGUCGACAAAAGGAGCCCAGCAGAACAACUUAAUGAAUAGAUCUUGAGAGUAGCUCAUUUCUCCCCAGCUUCACUGGGGAGGCUCUGUUGAUUCAAAAUCUUUUAAGUGAUUUUCCUGACACUUUCCCCCCUCCCCCCAUAUUCUCCAUUUAGUUGAGCAACUUGCAUCUUAAGGAAGAGAAAAUCAAACCAGAUGCCAAUGGUGCUGUUGUCAAGACCAAUGCUAAUGCAGAGAAGGCAGAUGAAGAAGAGAAAGAGGACAGAGCUGCCCAGUCCUUACUCAACAAGCUGAUCAGAAGCAACCUUGUGGAUAACACAAACCAGGUGGAAGUCCUGCAGCGGGACCCAAAUUCCCCACUCUACUCAGUGAAGUCCUUUGAGGAGCUUCGGCUGAAACCACAGCUUCUCCAGGGAGUCUAUGCCAUGGGCUUCAACCGUCCAUCCAAGAUACAAGAGAAUGCACUGCCUUUGAUGCUUGCUGAGCCCCCACAGAAUUUAAUUGCCCAGUCUCAGUCUGGCACUGGUAAAACAGCUGCCUUUGUGUUGGCCAUGCUCAGCCAAGUAGAACCUGCAAACAGAUACCCCCAGGUAAGGGCUUGGUAAAUUUGGAUUUUCUGCUAAUGUGUAGCUAGAAAUUACAUUUGAUGGACUGAAAGCCAAGAUGCAUAUUACUUUUUACAUAAACCAGAACACCUUGUCUAGCACAAACAAUAUGGUUGAUCUUCCAGUAGCAACAUGCAUCCUAUUCCCUUUCCAUGGUUUGCCAGUUCUGAGAUACUGCUGACAGGCUUGGCACCUUUACUUUCAGAAAAACUCUUCUAGGGCGCCUGGGUGGCUCAGUCA